CGGCGCAUCUGAUCAUGCAGUCGACGGUGAAGCCAAGCUUGCUUGGUGGAUCAGUGGCGAACGGGUGAGUAACACGUGAGCAACCUGCCCUGAACUCUGGGAUAAGCGCUGGAAACGGUGUCUAAUACUGGAUAUGAGCUGCGGAGGCAUCUUCGUGGUUGGAAAGAUUUUUCGGUUUGGGAUGGGCUCGCGGCCUAUCAGCUUGUUGGUGAGGUAAUGGCUCACCAAGGCGUCGACGGGUAGCCGGCCUGAGAGGGUGACCGGCCACACUGGGACUGAGACACGGCCCAGACUCCUACGGGAGGCAGCAGUGGGGAAUAUUGCACAAUGGGCGGAAGCCUGAUGCAGCAACGCCGCGUGAGGGAUGACGGCCUUCGGGUUGUAAACCUCUUUUAGCAGGGAAGAAGCGUGAGUGACGGUACCUGCAGAAAAAGCGCCGGCUAACUACGUGCCAGCAGCCGCGGUAAUACGUAGGGCGCAAGCGUUAUCCGGAAUUAUUGGGCGUAAAGAGCUCGUAGGCGGUUUGUCGCGUCUGCUGUGAAAACCCGAGGCUCAACCUCGGGCCUGCAGUGGGUACGGGCAGACUAGAGUGCGGUAGGGGAGAUUGGAAUUCCUGGUGUAGCGGUGGAAUGCGCAGAUAUCAGGAGGAACACCGAUGGCGAAGGCAGAUCUCUGGGCCGUAACUGACGCUGAGGAGCGAAAGGGUGGGGAGCAAACAGGCUUAGAUACCCUGGUAGUCCACCCCGUAAACGUUGGGAACUAGUUGUGGGGUCCAUUCCACGGAUUCCGUGACGCAGCUCACGCAUUAAGUUCCCCGCCUGGGGGAGUACGGCCGCAAGGCUAAAACUCAAAGGAAUUGACGGGGACCCGCACAAGCGGCGGAGCAUGCGGAUUAAUUCGAUGCAACGCGAAGAAACCUUACCAAGGCUUGACAUACACGAGAAACGCUGCAGAAAAUGUAGAAACUCUUUGGACACUCGUGAAACAGGUGGUGCCAUGAUUGUCGUCAGCCUCGUGUCGUGAGAUGUUUGGAUAGUUCCCGCAAACCGAGCGCAUCCUCGGAUUCCUAAUGUGA
rnacentral:rRNA from 1 species